GGCCUACGGCCGGCGGACGGUCGGACCAGCGGCGCUUUAUGACAUCGCCCCUGAGCGGCCCCGCCCGAGCCUUUCGCGACACGCUACGUCUGACCGAGGGCCCUGGAGGUGCAAGUCUGGAGGAGAACGGUUUUGAGGAGAACGGUCUUACUGACCCGCGAUACUCGACCGCCCCUAUGAUGACGCUUUCUGACGGUAUAAAACGUGAAAGCUUAAAACGGCGACGUAGAAGAGAUCGGCAAAAAGCAGGGAAACGGACCGUCGGGACAUCGAAUUGAUUCUCCUCAACAAGGCCGGAUGUGUUUUCAGCGGGACUCCCAAUCAGCUCCAGCGCCGCAGACACGGCGGACCGUUCCAAGAUUGCGGAAAAACAUCUUUACCGCCAUCCAGCUUUCCUCUCAUCGCCUCUUUCCAACCGAGCAAAACUCUCCCUCCAGGAACGCGUGAACCCGGGCAACUGGGAACCAAUCCGUACUAGGGCAACGGAUCAGGAUGACCACCUGGGCCCCAAAGGACGGCUCAUGGAGGAAACACGGAUAAAACUGGGAUUAUCCAAAGAGACGGCAGAACUGUGCCGUGUCCACGUAAGAAGCCUGACACUGGUCUGAUUACUGUAACUGAUCCAAAAUGCAAUUGCCAGAUCCCAUCUUCGAUAGCUUCACUGUGUGGUCGGGAUAUUGUAACACGGUGUUGGUGA